GCGCGUGCGCAAGGUCUGUGUCUCGACGCCCCUCCAUCCCCCACUCCCCACUCCCCACCCCAGGUGAUAAUGCCUCAAUGGCUUCAGUUUCCUCAUCUGCAAAACGACCUGUGGUGAAAUCCUACCCUGUGGAACCACUGAGGGCUGAUCUUUGAGGAUGCUGUGAGUUAGCGCCUGUGGAAGGAGUAUCCCUUCCCUUGCAGGGCCCUGUGAAUCACACACUACAGCCAGUCGUCACCUUUUCCCGCCACACAUCCCCGCGUUAAGAAUGGAACGCAGGGCUUCACGCAUGGUAGACCACGACUCGUGUUCCAGGAUCAAGAUGAGGAUCUUGUGGACCUGUCCAUCUGUCCUUCUAACCCUGCUCUCUUGACCUGAUGCACAUCAUUCAAGUCACGUCUUUCUGCCGCAUCUCCUGCUUCUUCCCAUGUGCUGUGCUGUGCAGUCCUCCUGAUCAGCUCACAGCUUCGGACGGCACUGACACUUCUGCACCAGGGUGACGGACAUCCUCACUCGCCGAGGGGAGGCUGUGUGGCCAGUUCCACACCACAGCACCACCGAAGUCCGGCGCUUUUGAGCGGGCAUACAGCUGUUGCAGAGGACUUCUGGGGUGGGAUCCGAACUGGGGAUGUAGAAGGAGGAACAGUGACCGAAACAGAGAUGAUUAAGGACCCUGGCGGUUGUGCAGCCUGGCCUGGAAAGCACCUGCAAGCAGAAGCAGAGACGGGACAGUCAGCACUGGGUAGUCUAGGGCCAGAGGAUGAGAGUAGUUACCACCCACUUCUACCCCUGAUGGAAAGAAGCAGGUGGCCUGGGUUUCAAUUCUGAUUCCUCCUUCUGGUUGUGUGGCCUGCAGCAAGUUAUUCAACCUUUCUAAUCAUCUUUCUUAGAUAAAAUCUUCCAAAUCCAGGGCUGUGGAGAGUUAGUAAAAUGAUGGGGUGCAAGCAUGAAGCCCCGGGUUCAUAUCCCCAGUACUCAUGUAAAGCGGGACUCAUGUCUAACGUCAGCACAGGGAAGUGAAGACAGACCUGGAGCUUACUAGCCAGCCCAGCCUAGCUGAACUGAUGAACUGCUGGAUCAGACAAGGCAUGAGGGAGCUGGAGAGGGGAGCUGGAGAGGCGGCUGGGGAUAGACCCUUCUACUCUUCUAGAUAGACCUGGGUUCAAUUCCCAGCACCCACAUGGUAACUCACCACUUCUCCAGGGAUCCAACUAUCUCUUCUGGGCCCCAAUCAUGCAUGUAGCACACAGAUAUACGUGCAAGCAAAAUACCCAAAAUUUUUUUUAAAAAAAUUAAAGGAACAGAGCAGUUGAGGACACUGAA